AAUGUCCAUACUGUUCUGCAAAUACCCCCAAGGGAAGUGUCAUUUAUACAAACCAAUGCCUGUAAAGUAUUUGAAUUUUUACAUCUCAGGGGAGAAACCUUCAAUUCAUUUGAAGCAAAUCUUAACCCACAGAAUGUAGUGCAUAACUGGUGGUUCCUGGCAGUAACUUCACAUUGGCAUAAAGCCAAAUGUCCAGUUGUGUCAACUUAAAAAUAUUUUAUGUUGGUACAGGUUGGGACUUGGGGUUUCUCCAAAGGCUGUUGCAAAGGGUUUCAGAUGCAUUUUUCAGCAGUCGAGGCAUUUAGUAUUAUCUUGACCAUCCCGAUGUCCAUUGGGAUAGAGUCUAUACUGCCGAACCACUAGAAGGAAUAAAUGAUGCUUCCAAGCAAGAGCUUGUGCUUGGAGGAGAAGUUUUUAAGUGGGGUGGAAAUAGCUGAUACAUCAGUUGUUCAGCAAACGUUAUGACCUUAAGCUGCAGCAGCUGCAGGGUGCUUGUGGGGCAGGAGAGAUGACAUAUACCACAACUGCAUCACUCCGGUUGCAAUACUUCGAAUGUCUCUUAAAAAUAGGUGUGGGCUUCAAGCCACCCCAAUGACCAGCAAGAAUGCCCGGAGCCCCCCAAUCGUCCAGGGUCAUGCUUUGAUCGAUAAGAUUCCCUAUCGGGAGACUAGGCGAGUUUAAACAUCUCGGGCUGUGUUUUGUACAUGGUACUCAAAAGAAUGCAAGUAAAUGGAAUCAUCCUUUCUUGAGUCCAGCAUACUGUAUGGUAAUUAUAUGCUGUUGAAUUGUUAUCCCAUAUGGAUGGGUUUGGAAUCCUGGCCCCUUGGCUUGUAAGAGUUAAGAUCAGUAAUGACUGUGAAGUCAAAUGAAUAAAAAAUAUGUCACUGGUGAUGUGGUAUUGAUGAUGUUAAUACUGUUUUUGUAAUUUUACCUGGAAUAAAUAAAUCGAUGUAUUCAGUUUUA